GCCUAGAUAGCUCAGUUGGCAGAGCACGUCCUUGGUAAGGACGAGGUCAUCGGUUCAAUCCCGAUUCUAGGCUCCA
rnacentral:tRNA from 1 species